GUCAGGAUGGCCGAGUGGUCUAAGGCGCCAGACUUAACCUCUGAGUGGAGGCGUGGGUUAGAAUCCCACUUCUGACA